CCUCCCCUUGGUCUGGACUCAUCGGUCCCAGUGCCUCCCCUUGGUCUGGACUCAUCGGUCCCAGUGCCUCCCCUUGGUCUGGACUCAUCGGUCCCAGUGCCUCCCCUUGGUCUGGACUCAUCGGUCCCAGUGCCUCCCCUUGGUCUGGACUCAUCGGUCCCAGUGCCUCCCCUUGGUCUGGACUCAUCGGUCCCAGUGCCUCCCCUUGGUCUGGACUCAUCGGUCCCAGUGCCUCCCCUUGGUCUGGACUCAUCGGUCCCAGUGCCUCCCCUUGGUCUGGACUUCGGAGAGCAUUUCAGAUAAUCCUUUUAACUUUAAUAAUUCUAAUCUGCUGCACACAACCACUUUCUCUGCUUGGCUGCAGUAUGCUGAUUCAUUUAUAUUAUAUAUAUAUAUACAUUCUGUAUUUUUAAAUGUAUUUUUUAAAUGUAUUUAUUGCCCAUUCCGACCACCCAUUAGCCUGAUUUAAAUAAAAAAUCAGCAUGGUGUUAACCGGUGGGUAAGGCCCGGUACAGCCGCGUAGGGGCCCGGUACAGCCGCGUAGGGGCCCGGGACGCUUCUCACCCAGGCUUUAUUACUGCAGAGGGCUCCGACUAAAUUUCCUUCACGUAAAUCUCUCUGCUCCUCUCUAAACAUGUCCGUCUUGUAGGUUAUAGGGGUUUUACUUGUGUUACUUCCUCAACCCUGGAGCCCUGUGUGAGCGCGCACGUGUGGCCUAGGUGUUUGUGUUGUAGGGAUAUAAAUGUCGGUAUGUUUUCUUUGCAAACAGUUAAAUACGGUCAAAACAAUCAAUACUAUGCAUGGAAGGAACGGACAUUUUUCAUUAAGAGCUUAAUGAACAUGUGACAAUAGCAAGCAUAUCCUCCUAGUAUUUGAACAUGCAACUACUGUGAGGAAGACGACGAUGGAAUACAUUAACCAAAAUAUAAUAUAAAACCCUGUCCUGAAAGACGCACUGCUGAGGUGGCAACGAUGCGAGCUCGGUUAGAACUUGCAACAACUAGGAUUGGUUGGUUAAUGACUAGAAUUGUGCCAUUGGCUUUUGGAAUAAAGCUGAUACCUGGAUACCAGUAGAACAGGAGAGAAAUGCUGUGAAACUGUUUUGGUAGCUAGCUUAGCUGUUAGCCGACUUUAAGCUAGCUACUUCCUAUCUGACUAGACAGAGCUGUUAGCCGACGUUAAGCUAGCUACUUUCUAUCUGACUACACAGAGCUGUUAGCCGACGUUAAGCUAGCUACUUCCUAUCUGACUAGACACAGCUGUUAGGAAGUAGCUAGCUUAACGUCGGCUAUCUGACUAGACAGAGCCGUUAGCUGACGUUAAGCUAGCUACUUUCGAUCUCCUAUAAACUCACUGCACAUUACUAUUUUCGGGCAAAAUAAUAAUUCCGGUCGACUGUUCCUGUUUCAUGACUGACGGGAUUUGUUAAAUUCUGACACCAAUUUUAAUUCCAUGAAAUGAUGCCAAUGACCUAUAGACGGAUAAGGAAGACCUGUCAAAUG
rnacentral:lncRNA from 13 species